AAUCCACAAAACUUCCUUUUGUAUAAUUUAAUUAGCCUAAGUGCACAAGUGCACAACCAUUAUAUGAGUAAUUAUGAGCUACUUGUUAUUUUUAGUACAUAGUUCUUUUUCAAUUGCUAUUUAUAGCUCAAACAAGAGGAAAAAUGUAAACAAAGUGAAUCUAUGUUUCCAAAAAUGAAAACCUCUUCUAUAGCAACACUCCUCUUUCUUGCUAUCUUCCUAUUUUCAUUUGGGUUGAAAUCAGGAGAGUGCCAGUUAUGUGCAUUUGGAACAGUGGAAAUGGAGAGAUGCUCAAUCCCUCAAUGCUCUUCAGACUGCAGGAACAAAGUUUCACAUUCAACUGGCAGAUGUAUUGCUAUUGACACUUGUUGUUGUGUUGCAAGAGCUCAUUUCCAUAAUUAAUUACUUUUCUUUAAUUAUGUUGAUGUUUUCACUUAUUAUCUACCAAUUGUCAUGCCUGUUUUUUUUUAAAAAAAAUCGGGAGUCUUAUGCUUUGAGCAGCAAGUGAGUGAAUAAUGUAGUACUUUAAAGAGGCUUUUUUUGUUUUACUUUUGGGCAACUGGAGAUUUGUAAAGUAAUACCCAAGAAAAAAGGUAUUGUAAGCUCUUGAUACACCACCUAUUAAGGAGAAGAAAUUUUUAUCUUUUGCCUGCAAAA